rnacentral:rRNA from 1 species
AGAGUUUGAUCCUGGCUCAGAUUGAACGCUGGCGGCAUGCCUUACACAUGCAAGUCGAACGGUAGAGGGGCAACCCUUGAGAGUGGCGAACGGGUGAGUAAUAUAUCGGAACGUGCCCAGUCGUGGGGGAUAACGCAGCGAAAGCUGCGCUAAUACCGCAUACGAUCUAUGGAUGAAAGCGGGGGAUCGCAAGACCUCGCGCGAUUGGAGCGGCCGAUAUCAGAUUAGGUAGUUGGUGGGGUAAAAGCCCACCAAGCCGACGAUCUGUAGCUGGUCUGAGAGGACGACCAGCCACACUGGGACUGAGACACGGCCCAGACUCCUACGGGAGGCAGCAGUGGGGAAUUUUGGACAAUGGGCGCAAGCCUGAUCCAGCAAUGCCGCGUGCAGGACGAAGGCCUUCGGGUUGUAAACUGCUUUUGUACGGAGCGAAACGGUCUGGGUUAAUACCCUGGGCUAAUGACGGUACCGUAAGAAUAAGCACCGGCUAACUACGUGCCAGCCGCCGGGUAAUAC